AAAUUAGAAAGCGAAUAUUGCAUUUAGUUUCGACCUAACUCUUAGGCCUAGGCCUUCUAAUUUA
rnacentral:tRNA from 1 species